AGAGUUUGAUCCUGGCUCAGGAUGAACUCUGGCGGCGUGCCUAACACAUGCAAGUCGAGCGAUUCUCUUCGGAGAAGAGCGGCGGACGGGUGAGUAACGCGUGGGUAACCUGCCCUGUACACACGGAUAACAUACCGAAAGGUAUGCUAAUACGAGAUAAUAUGCUUUUAUCGCAUGGUAGAAGUAUCAAAGCUUUUGCGGUACAGGAUGGACCCGCGUCUGAUUAGCUAGUUGGUGAGGUAACGGCUCACCAAGGCGACGAUCAGUAGCCGACCUGAGAGGGUGAUCGGCCACAUUGGAACUGAGACACGGUCCAAACUCCUACGGGAGGCAGCAGUGGGGAAUAUUGCACAGUGGGCGAAAGCCUGAUGCAGCAACGCCGCGUGAGCGAUGAAGGCCUUCGGGUCGUAAAGCUCUGUCCUCAAGGAAGAUAAUGACGGUACUUGAAGAGGAAGCCCCGGCUAACUACGUGCCAGCAGCCGCGGUAAUACGUAGGGGGCUAGCGUUAUCCGGAAUUACUGGGCGUAAAGGGUGCGUAGGUGGUUUCUUAAGUCAGAGGUGAAAGGCUACGGCUCAACCGUAGUAAGCCUCUGAAACUGAGAAACUUGAGUGCAGGAGAGGAGAGUGGAAUUCCUAGUGUAGCGGUGAAAUGCGUAGAUAUUAGGAGGAACACCAGUUGCGAAGGCGGCUCUCUGGACUGUAACUGACACUGAGGCACGAAAGCGUGGGGAGCAAACAGGAUUAGAUACCCUGGUAGUCUACGCCGUAAACGAUGAGUACUAGCUGUCGGAGGUUACCCACUUUCGGGGCGCAGCUAAC
rnacentral:rRNA from 1 species